UGACGGUACCUGACUAAGAAGCUCCGGCUAAAUACGUGCCAGCAGCCGCGGUAAUACGUAUGGUGCAAGCGUUAUCCGGAUUUACUGGGUGUAAAGGGAGCGUAGGUGGUUUUGUAAGUUGGAUGUGAAAACCCGGGGCUCAACCCCGUGACUGCUUUUGAAACUGCAUAGCUAGAGUGCCGGAGGGGAAAGCGGAAUUCCUAGUGUAGCGGUGAAAUGCGUAGAUAUUAGGAGGAACACCGGUGGCGAAGGCGGCUUACUGGACGGUAACUGACGUUGAGGCUCGAAAGCGUGGGGAGCAAACAGGAUUAGAUACCCUG
rnacentral:rRNA from 1 species